CUUGCAGACACUAUCUUUCUUCUUCCUCUGGCCUUAAUUUUCUGCUUUAUAUCUUCCUUUUUUUUCUUUGCAUCUCAAUUUUUUUUUGUUCCCACUUCUGGUUUUUCUUAUGUAAUUUUAUGCAUUUUUAAAAUCCUUUUACCAAACUUUUAUGGGAUUUUAAGAAGUGAAAGUUAAUCCCACGUAAUUCACCAAAAUUCAGUUCCUUCUUUUUUUUUAUUCUAUUGCUAUUAACUUCUAUCAUACUUUAAUCACUUAAUGCUGGGGUAAAUUGUUUCCUAACUAAUUUCAUCCUUUCAAUUUUUUCUUUCCUUGACUAAAAUGUCCUAUUAACUGCCACCCUGGGAACAACUCUAAGAUACCACUCUAAUUAGAUCACUCACUUGCUCAAAAAACUACAGAUACUUUUAAUGCCUAAAAAAGUAAAUUUCUGACCCAUUCACGAUCUACUCAGAUUUCCAGGCUUAUCUUUUACCAUGCUUCAAUAUGUACAUUCUCCUUGUACAAAUGACUUUACUCAUUGUCUUUGGAAAAUAUCUGCCUGUCUUCCCACUAUUCUUGGCAAAAUCUAUUCUUUUCAUUUAAUCUUACUCAUUCUUCUUAACUCCUCCAAGAAGUCUUUUUGAUCCCUCUAGUAGAAAAAAAAAUUAUUAGUGCCAGGUUUGCAGUCUGUUUCUUUCAUUAUAGCAUCUGUAACACUUAGUAUUUAUAUUUUUAUCUUUCUCUUCUAGACUCUAAGUUGCACUGGAGGCCAAGACCUUGUUAUAUUUUCUUGUUGUAUACCAAUUUUCAAUCAAUAUUGAAUACCUACUGUGUGCCAGGACCUGUGCUGAAACUUCUUUAGGUGUAUCUCAGGCAGGGUUGGUCCACAAACUUCAAGAGCCAGUGACCCUGACUGCCAAGUGAUUUGCCAAAGGGAUUUAUGGUUUUGCAUUUGAUGGUUUCCAGGAACUGCAAAGAGUGAGAUCAUCCCUUAAGCAGUGACUGCCAGAGGAAGGUGAGAGACAUAUGGUGGCCUUACAGGUAUUCUUUCCAAAUCUAUAUUAAGAGAUUACACAGAAAAUGUCUGCAUCUAAAUAUAUGCCUCAUGAAAUAAAAUUCAUGAACCUUUUUUAUUUCCUCUCAUGACCCAUGAUUGGGAUUUUGUCUGAAUAUCAAUAAUGCCAAAAUAAAUAUAGAACUGUUAAGAUCUCACUGAAUUAUCCAUUAUUAUAAGGAAAUUAUAGUAAAGACAUUGUGAGUAUAGAGACAAAAAAGUAGAACUUAUAGGAUUAACAAUAAUAGAUAUUUUACAGUAUUUCAUGAGACCAAGAGACAGAGCAUAAAGAGUUCAUGCAGUCUGUGGGGUUGAAGAUCUUUCACUUGUGUUCUUGCACUUUACCUAUUAUUCUCUUAAUCCUGCACACAUUGCCUUCUUGUUGAAAAAAAGUCAUGAUAAAGGACAAUCAGAAGUUCUAUGGCUGAGAAAGUAAAUGAGGAAAAUGUGAAAGUUAGGUAUGUGAGAUUAAAUGUGGCCAGCAUGAUAUAGUAGAAGCACACACACACACACACACACAAAACCACCCUACAGUAGAAGGCAAAAUUCCUGGUUUCUAACUGUAAGUGUACACUUAAAAAUGUUGACAUUUAGUUUGGGUUGAUUUCUCCUACAAAAUAGGAAUGAUAUGUAACAACUUUGAAGCCUACAUCAUAGGGAUUUUGUAAAUGACAAAUCACAUGUUUGUAAAUCUACUUUGAAAAGAUGAGAUAUGUAUUUCUACAGAGAAAUCUCAAGUCUUCUGGAAAGUAAAUAUUUAAAAAAUCUUCUAAAAAUCUGUGCCUUAAUUACCUCUUUGUGAAUGACUCUACCCUCCAUCUAAUCACGUUAGCCAAAAAUAUGGGAAUCCUGCACCAACUUUUAAAAUCCAAUUUAGUGGUAUUUUGACAGCACCCACACUGAGACUCAGAGAUCAACAUAAUGAGUUAGGCAACGUUGUCUUCCUUAAAGGUUCUCAAGCUAUUCUGGACCUACCAGUUUUUUACAUUUUGUAUCUUAUUCAUUGACACGAAUGGUAAAACACAAGCUGAGCCCAUUCCAUAAGGUGUUUGUGACUAAAAGUCUAAUGAAAAAGAAUUUGAACGUGGUCCACUAUGAAUUUCAGACUUGUUUGAUAGGUGAUGGGGAGGGGGACAGUGAAAGUUGAAUUGAAGACAGAAAUAAGAGGAUCUGUAAAAUAAGUCAUGAUGAAUAAGUUAGAAUUUGUGCUAUACUGAGAGGCAAGGCCAGAGAUGUCAAAGAAUCAUGGUCACAGUUAUAAUGUGAAAUGUGCUCAAUAUAUUCCUUGCUUGAUUGACCUUUUCACUUCUUACAGAAGGCAGAAUGUAGACUGAGUAGAACAACAGUGUUCAAUGAUGCUGAUAAAAAAUGACAGUAAAAGAUAGAAGCUUUGGUUUAAUUGAUAUGCCCUCACCUUUGAUUCUUAAAAGGAAAAUUACCAGGUUACAUUCAAUUUACAUGUUUAAUUGCCAUAUGUACUCUUAUUGAACCUCUGGGUUUGAGUAAGGUAUAUUUGGGAAUAGUAUUUAAUGAGUCAGCAUACAGGUUAUGAAGUAUUCAGAUUUGAAAUAUUAUCAUAAAUGUUACACAUUUGUACUUACUGGCAAGUGAGGAUGAGAAUUCAGCAAUUGCAUUUAAGUAUCUUUUAUACUUGUUCUUGAUUUUAUCUCUACUAACAUUGCUGUAGUUUAGACACUUUUCUCAAAUAUUUUUCAAAAAAUUUGUAACUGAUAUAACAUUCUUCAAUCUUGUCCAUUCCAAACCAUCCUUAACUCUGCUUCCAGAAUUGUCUUUAAAACUUAAAAGUCUGAUUAGGUUAUUACAGUUCCUUAGUACUUUAAUUCCUUCAGUGGCAUCCAAAGACAAAGAAUAAAACAAAAUCUAUUUUCAAAAGCCAUAAACCUGUCUAGCCAUGAUUCUUACCUCUCUGUCUCAUGACUUAAAUCAAAUGUGGAACAUAUGUGUGUGUGUGUGUGUGUGUGUGUG